rnacentral:rRNA from 1 species
AGUGAACGCUGGCGGCGUGCUUAACACAUGCAAGUCGAACGAGAACGGAUUAUAGCUUGCUAUAAUUGUCAGCUAAGUGGCGCACGGGUGAGUAAUGUAUAGGUAAUAUGCCUCUUACUAAGGGAUAACAAAUGGAAACGUUUGCUAAUACCUUAUACUCCUUAUUAACAAAAGUUAAUAAGGGAAAGAUUUAUUGGUAAGAGAUUAGCCUGUAUUGUAUCAGUUAGUUGGUGGGGUAAUGGCUUACCAAGACUAUGACCCAUAACUGGUUUGAGAGGAUGAUCAGUCACACUGGAACUGAGACACGGUCCAGACUCCUACGGGAGGCAGCAGUGGGGAAUAUUGCACAAUGGACGAAAGUCUGAUGCAGCAACGCCGCGUGGAGGAUGACACAUUUCGGUGCGUAAACUCCUUUUAUAUGAGAAGAUAAUGACGGUAUUAUAUGAAUAAGCACCGGCUAACUCCGUGCCAGCAGCCGCGGUAA